UGAGGUGACGGGCCUUUCCCCCGGAUCAACCCUGGUCAGAGAUGAGGUGACGAUCCUUUACCCCCGGAUCAACCCUGGUCAGAGAUGAGGUGACGAUCCUUUACCCCCGGAUCAACCCUGGUCAGAGAUGAGGUGACGAUCCUUUACCCCCGGAUCAACCCUGGUCAGAGAUGAGGUGACGAUCCUUUA